GCCAGGCAUGGUGGCACAUGCCCAUAGUCCCAGCUACUCGGGAGGCAGAGGCAGAAGGGUCACUUGAGCCCAGGAGCUCAAUACCAGCCUGAGCAACACAGUGAGACAAU
rnacentral:sRNA from 1 species